CCUACGGGUGGCAGCAGUGAGGAAUAAUGGUCAAUGGCCGGAAGGCUGAACCAGCCAAGCCGCGUGAAGGACGGAGGUGCCAAGCAUUGUAAACUUCUUUUGUCAAGGGACAAAAUCAGGCUCGAGAGCCUGACCGAGGGUACUUGAAGAAAAAGCAUCGGGUAACUCCGUGCCAGCAGCCGCGGUAAUACGGGGGAUGCGAGCGUUGUCCGGAUUUAUUGGGUGAAAAGGGUGCGUAGGCGGAAUGCCAAGUCAGCGGUAAAAGCGCGGGGCCCAACCUCGCCCCGCCGUUGAAACUGGCGUUCUUGAGUGGGCGAGAAGGAUGCGGAAUGCGUGGUGUAGCAGUGAAAUGCAUAGAUAUCACGCAGAAC
rnacentral:rRNA from 1 species